rnacentral:rRNA from 1 species
CGUAGGGUGCAAGCGUUAAUCGGAAUUACUGGGCGUAAAGCGUGCGCAGGCGGUUUGUAAGACAGGCGUGAAAUCCCCGGGCUCAACCUGGGAAUUGCGCUUGUGACUGCAAAGCUGGAGUGCGGCAGAGGGGGAUGGAAUUCCGCGUGUAGCAGUGAAAUGCGUAGAUAUGCGGAGGAACACCGAUGGCGAAGGCAAUCCCCUGGGCCUGCACUGACGCUCAUGCACGAAAGCGUGGGGAGCAAACAGGAUUAGAUACCCCUGGUAGUCCACGCCCUAAACGAUGUCAACUGGUUGUUGGGUCUCUUCUGACUCAGUAACGAAGCUAACGCGUGAAGUUGACCGCCUGGGGAUACGGCCGCAAGGUUG